GACGAACGCUGGCGGCGUGCUUAACACAUGCAAGUCGAACGGUGAAAGCGGAGCUUGCUCCGCUGGAUCAGUGGCGAACGGGUGAGUAACACGUGGGCAACCUACCCCUCACUUCGGGAUAACUCCGGGAAACCGGGGCUAAUACCGGAUAUGACCUCCUUGGGCAUCCUUGGAGGUGGAAAGUUUUUCGGUGAGGGAUGGGCCCGGGGCCUAUCAGCUUGUUGGGGAGGUAGUGGCUCACCAAGGCGACGACGGGGAGCCGGCCGGGGAGGGCGACCGGCCACACUGGGACUGAGACACGGCCCAGACUCCUACGGGAGGCAGCAGUGGGGAAUAGUGCGCAAUGGGCGAAAGCCUGACGCAGCAACGCCGCGUGCGGGAUGACGGCCUUCGGGUUGUAAACCGCUUUCAGCAGGGAAGAAGCCGCAAGGUGACGGUACCUGCAGAAGAAGCACCGGCUAACUACGUGCCAGCAGCCGCCGUAAAAC
rnacentral:rRNA from 1 species